GACGAACGCUGGCGGCGUGCUUAACACAUGCAAGUCGAACGGAAAGGCCCUGCUUUUGUGGGGUGCUCGAGUGGCGAACGGGUGAGUAACACGUGAGUAACCUGCCCUUGACUUUGGGAUAACUUCAGGAAACUGGGGCUAAUACCGGAUAGGAGCUCCUGCUGCAUGGUGGGGGUUGGAAAGUUUCGGCGGUUGGGGAUGGACUCGCGGCUUAUCAGCUUGUUGGUGGGGUAGUGGCUUACCAAGGCUUUGACGGGUAGCCGGCCUGAGAGGGUGACCGGCCAAAUUGGGACUGAGAUACGGCCCAGACUCCUACGGGAGGCAGCAGGGGGGAAUAUUGCACAAUGGGCGGAAGCCUGAUGCAGGAAAGCCGCGUGCGGGAUGACGGCCUUCGGGUUGGAAACCGCUUUCGCCUGUGACGAAGCGUGAGUGACGGUAAUGGGUAAAGAAGCAACGGCUAACUACGUG
rnacentral:rRNA from 1 species